rnacentral:lncRNA from 1 species
CUUUCUGACCAGGUGCUGUCCAGAGAAGCAGCCCACCUCGCAUGGCCAGACGGGAAGCCACCACAGCCAUGGAGCAUUCAGAAUCCCACAGAGGAUUCAAAGGAAGAUGGAAAACCCCAUGCUGUUGGAACAGCCAGCGAGGAAAUGUUCUAAAAUGUGGACACUCCAGGCUCCACACAUAAAUGGAAUUAGCCUGGAGAAUCCCAUCGAGCCAAGAGGCAUGCCGGGUAGGAUGGCGUAUGCAAAACAUGCAGGGCUUGCUGACUGCGGACGUGGCCACCUUGCUGUCCCUCUGAGGUUGACAGCAGCUGCCACUGGGAGAUUUCCUCGUCCCUGAUGCUGUGUGACCUUGGAAUCAGAGGCAUUUUUCUUUCAUUUUUAAAAAAUUUUCAUCAUUAUUGCUCCAUCCACAUUCAAAGCCCCUAGUGAUGCCAUUUGGAACAUUUUUGGCCUUCGUUCUAAUUUAUUUUAAGAACCAGAUUCAGCUUAAGAUUUUUUUUUUAAUGUAGCUCGCUUAGAAGAGGGUGAAACAGCUGGUUUCUGCUUUUUAUUUUGUGGAUUUUCAGCAUAUUCAAGGUUCAAGCACAAGAGAAGAUUUGUAAUGCUGUUGCCUUAAUGAUGACGACAGUGAUAAUGACUGGAUCAUACCGAUGACAACAUCUCAUUUUGUGGCGUAUGAUAUGGAUGAUCUCACUUACUCUUCAUAACUCUAAGAGAAAGCUAUUACAAUCUGCACCACGCAUGGUCAAACGUAAGCCAAGACGUUUUCCUAAGCAGGGAAUUGGAAGGCAGAAUAUUGCCAACCGAUAAAGGAUGAUAAUGGUGUGUUUCCCCGAGUGCCACAUCAACACACAAAUGUUCAAGCAAAUUAGGUUUCCUGGUUAUUCCACCAGGUUCACAUAGCAACAACAGCACAUAACUUAUGCACUGAAGAAUAAAAACUGUGACACGCUUUAAUACCAACAAGAAAAAGUAAGGUUUCUCUCCUUGUUUCUUUAUGUGUAAUAAUCAUAGCUCUACCUGGAAUUUUGUAUAAUGUAUGUGUGGGACCAGGAUUUGAAAAAAAAGAAAAGAUGAGAUCACACUGGUAGG